rnacentral:rRNA from 1 species
AGGUGCGAUCUUACCAGCGGUAAUGCACCGAAUCUGAUCAUAACUUCGCAGUUAAGCACGCUUGGGCUAGAGUAGUACUGGGAUGGGUGACCUUCCGGGAAGUUCUAGUGUUGCACCCU